GUGAAGGGAGGAAGAAUUAGGAAAUCCGACUCAAUUCGGGAAAAUCCUACAUUUGGCCAUUAGCAAUAAUAAUAAUUCCCAAAAGAAAACUCUACAAAGAUCUUCGUUUAUGUGUUUUUCUCUCUAGAGCCAUGGAGUCAUCAAAACCAAUGCAUAUGCAUGUUCCUGCCUUAACUAUACCGUGUAUUUGUAGUUUGAUGGUCUGUUUUUAAUAAUAUUUAGUAAUGGAACUAUCCCUUGUUGUUCAA